CCUACGGGAGGCUGCAGUGGGGAAUAUUGGACAAUGGGCGAAAGCCUGAUCCAGCCAUGCCGCGUGUGUGAAGAAGGCCUUCGGGUUGUAAAGCACUUUCAGUGGGGAAGAAAGCCUUGGGGCUAAUACCCUCGAGGUAGGACAUCACCCACAGAAGAAGCACCGGCUAACUCCGUGCCAGCAGCCGCGGUAAUACGGAGGGUGCGAGCGUUAAUCGGAAUUACUGGGCGUAAAGCGCGCGUAGGCGGUCUGAUAAGCCGGUUGUGAAAGCCCCGGGCUCAACCUGGGAACGGCAUCCGGAACUGUCAGGCUAGAGUGCAGGAGAGGAAGGUAGAAUUCCCGGUGUAGCAGUGAAAUGCGUAGAGAUCGGGAGGAAUACCAGUGGCGAAGGCGGCCUUCUGGACUGACACUGACGCUGAGGUGCGAAAGCGUGGGUAGCAAACAGGAUUAGAUACCCUUGUAGUC
rnacentral:rRNA from 1 species